rnacentral:rRNA from 1 species
CCAACGGGAGGCAGCAGUGGGGAAUAUUGGGCAAUGGGCGCAAGCCUGACCCAGCAACGCCGCGUGAGGGAAGAAGGUCUUCGGAUUGUAAACCUCUGUCCUUGGUGACGAAACAAAUGACGGUAGCCAAGGAGGAAGCCCCGGCUAACUACGUGCCAGCAGCCGCGGUAAUACGUAGGGGGCGAGCGUUGUCCGGAAUUACUGGGCGUAAAGGGUGCGUAGGUGGCCUUUUAAGUUGGAUGUGAAAUACCCGAGCUUAACUUGGGGGGUGCAUCUAAUACUGGGAGGCUAGAGUGCAGGAGAGGGAAGCGGAAUUCCUAGUGUAGCGGUGAAAUGCGUAGAUAUUAGGAGGAACACCAGUGGCGAAGGCGGCUUUCUGGACUGUAACUGACACUGAGGCACGAAAGCGUGGGGAGCAAACA